rnacentral:tRNA from 1 species
CAAAGAAUAGUUUAAUGCUAGAAUCUUGGCUUUGGGAGCCAGGGGUAGGAGUUGAAGUCUCUUUUCUUUGA